UUUUUAUGGAUUUUACAUAGGUGCAUAUUUUUAAUUAUUACUGUAUUUUUCGUACAAACCUGAAUAUGGAGUUAUGUCUAUAUUUUUCUAAAAAAAUAACAAAUUUUUGUUAGUUAGUAUACAUGCAAGUAUUGAAUUUAUAUCUGUAAGCAAUGAUAAACUAUUGUUAAUGAAAAACGAUUUAAAGCGAAGUUCAGUGAUACACAUUUUGAAAGGCCAUAAUACUUACGAGUUUUGUC